rnacentral:rRNA from 1 species
UAUUGGCCGGAAAACUACGGGCCACAGCUUAAAACUCAAAGGACUUGGCGGUACUUUAUAUCCAUCUAGAGGAGCCGGUUCUAUAAUCGAUAAACCCCGUUAUACCUCACCACCCCUUGCUAAUACAGCCUAUAUACCGCCUUCUUCAGCAAACCCUAAAAAGGAGCAAAAGUAAGCAAAAAAAUCCCCAUAAAAACUUUAGGUCAAGGGGUACCCAAUGAGGGGGAAAGCAAGGGGCUACUUUUUCUUAAAAAAAACAUUACCCUACCCUUUAUGAAACUAAAGGACAAAGGAGGAUUUAUUAGUAAAUUAAAAAUAAAGAGCUUAAUUGAAUAAAGCAAUGAAUUACGUACCCCCCGCCCG